rnacentral:rRNA from 1 species
GGGCGAGGGUGCUAACUGCAGUCGAAGGCAGCACAGAGGAGCUUGCUCCUUGGGUGGCGAGUGGCGGACGGGUGAGGAAUACAUCGGAAUCUACUUUUUCGUGGGGGAUAACGUAGGGAAACUUACGCUAAUACCGCAUACGACCUACGGGUGAAAGCAGGGGAUCUUCGGACCUUGCGCGAUUGAAUGAGCCGAUGUCGGAUUAGCUAGUUGGCGGGGUAAAGGCCCACCAAGGCGACGAUCCGUAGCUGGUCUGAGAGGAUGAUCAGCCACACUGGAACUGAGACACGGUCCAGACUCCUACGGGAGGCAGCAGUGGGGAAUAUUGGACAAUGGGCGCAAGCCUGAUCCAGCCAUACCGCGUGGGUGAAGAAGGCCUUCGGGUUGUAAAGCCCUUUUGUUGGGAAAGAAAUCCAGCCGGCUAAUACCUGGUUGGGAUGACGGUACCCAAAGAAUAAGCACCGGCUAACUUCGUGCCAGCAGCCGCGGUAAUACGAAGGGUGCAAGCGUUACUCGGAAUUACUGGGCGUAAAGCGUGCGUAGGUGGUCGUUUAAGUCCGUUGUGAAAGCCCUGGGCUCAACCUGGGAACUGCAGUGGAUACUGGGCGACUAGAGUGUGGUAUAGGGUAGCGGAAUUCCUGGUGUAGCAGUGAAAUGCGUAGAGAUCAGGAGGAACAUCCAUGGCGAAGGCAGCUACCUGGACCAACACUGACACUGAGGCACGAAAGCGUGUGGAGCAAACAGGAUUAGAUACCCUGGUAGUCCACGCCCUANACGAUGCGAACUGGAUGUUGGGUGCAAUUUGGCACGCAGUAUCGAAGCUAACGCGUUAAGUU